AGAUACCAGCACACUCCGGUUUGCGGUUGGUCCCCGCGAGCUUUGUCGAGGCUCAGGCACGAUGGUGGGGCGAGGCCCACGAGCGCCUUCUCUGGCCCUACAUCCAGGUCCGAAAAAUGCGAAGUAGCCUGUGGCUGUUUGUGAGGCAAACUUACUGAACCAGUACUGGUGAAACUGCACCACUAUGAAUAUUUCGAGGACUUGCUGAUUCAUGUUUGCAUCUCUAAUGCCUACUGAAAUCUGAGUACCUGUUCAUUCAUUCAUUCAAGAAUUAUUCGUUGAUAGCCUGUAAUAUACCAGGAGAACACUGUGGCGUAGCUGUGCACAUCAGGCCAAUUUCCAAAUUUCAGGGACUUUUGCUUUUUCUGAUGAGUCUCCAGAUGAAAACUCAGCUUAGCUGAUACCUUCACUUCUACCUCGUGAUACGCUGACUAGAGGAGCCAGUCACACCAUGCCUGAUGUCAAAACUACAGAAUUGUGACUGAUAUCAGAACUGAUCUUUCUUGGAACUGGCCUUGCUAAUGGAAUUCAUAUGGUUUGCUCAGAUAAGUAAUUCUUUGGGGAAAACUCAUUAUAAGCAAAAUACUUGAAAAGAUAUGAGAAAGGGCAACAGUUGGGCUAUAAAAACAGAGUUUAUAUUUUUGCACGGAAAAAAUUUUAUGGUCCUAGCAUUUUACUCGUUCCCAAAUUAUCUGAUUGUAUUAUUCCAGAGGCUAAAUAUAAAGAUUGCCUUGUUAUCAAACUCUCAAAUCUUGAGAAGGAUCAAUCUUAAAAAAAUCCUUUUUCUUCUCCUUCUCCUCCUCCUUCUCUUCUCUCAUUCCUUCCCCUUCUUUUUGUAUGUCUGUUUGCAAGAUGAAUAUAGACUGUUCCAGAAAAUUCUUAUUAAAAACUGUGUGGAAUAGGCAAGAGCUGAUGGGUUAUAAGCAAUUGGAUAUCUGGGCCUUAGUGUUUCCUGCAUGGAGGUGAAUUCCUUUGGCCACACCAGCCGUCCUGUAUUGUUUAUUACAGUCUGUAACCUCUCCCUUCAGCUAAAGGGGCAAAUUCAUGAAGGAGUUCACAGAGCUCUUCUGAUUUUUGAGGCAUUUAAGGCCAGCUAGAAUACACUUUAUUCAGCGUAAUUAUACUUUUAAUUCAUAAGACUUAUAUAUUCAGGUGAAAACUGGCAGUUAAGAAGCCUCAGAGGCAGGGUUUAGAUUUUGAUUGUCAUUUACCACUGCUAGAAAGAAAUUGCAUUCUAGUGGGGCCGUAUCUCAAUGAAAACAAACCUUUCUCUUCCAUAGCACAUUGAUCAAAAGAAAGCUCAAGGUUACAAGGAUUCUCUGAAGUCCAUUGACUCUUUGCUGCUAAUUAGUAGCACAACUUAUUUGAGCAAAUUGAGAAUUUUAAUACCUACUUUGACUUGCUUUUAAUAUUGCUCUAAUUUCCCAUGAACAUGUUUUUGUUCUAAACUUGAUGCGGACAAAUGUACAAACUGUGGAUAGGCCAGUCUUAUUUAUUUAUUAAACAAAGUUAUGUUUUUAUUAGGUUUGGAAUUCACUUCUAGGCAGUUAAAAGAAAGGGGUUAUUAGUACCUUCCUUCUAAGGCCAUUUUGAAAUUUUAUGAAAAAAAAAAAAAGUAUGUGGUACAAAAUUGAUCUGGGUAUACAGCGGGUGAACUGAUUCUAAUCCUACUCUGUGUAUGGAACUAGAUCAAUUUCCCGGUGCUGGCUGUGGGCUUGGGAUGGUAUAUUUAUCUGGUGUUGGAGUCUAGUAAUAUCUUGUAUGCUUUUCCUAUCUGUGUGCUCUCUGGAACAAGUAACCUAGAGAGAGUGUGCCAUUGAGUGGGCUGUCAGAGAUGAAGCUAAGAAAUAGUCAACACCUUGACUUUGCUUAUUUCCUCAGUGUGAAUCAACUAAGGUGGCAGCAAAGGAUAAAAGCAGUGUGUCAGUGAGAGAACUACAGUUUCAUCCCCUGCUUUGGAGACAUUAUUCCCAAUAGCCUAGAGAUUUGUCAGUGACUUGGUAGAGCAUGAAUUCAGGUAUGUGCAUUAAUUAAACUUCCUUUUUGAAGAAUCGCCUCAAUGGCUUCUAGACCUAGAAAUCUGCUGCUCCAAGUAAACCACAGAUUUACACCAGAUCUUGACAUGUAAGACCAUCUAGCAUAAGAUGCUAAAAUAUAGUUUGGUCGUUUGCUUUGUAGUAGAAAUAGUCAUUGUAUCAUGAAUUCAUAUUUGCUAAGACUUGGGAAAUCUUUUGGUUAAGAUUUCCUCAGCCUGUUUGCUGCUACUGAAUUUUUUUUUUUUUUCUUUUGGUUCAGCAAAGGCGAACUCCUUUAGGUCCUAUGACUAAUUUCCCCACAUCCAGAGAUUAUCUAAUGAGUUCCUUAGAAAACUUUGGAACAAAAUUAAUCCAAGAUUUACUGGGUGACUAAUCAUAUCUCUGGGGAAAUAAGCUGGCCCUUAGUUUACUGGUUAGUUGCAAAGAAUCCUGGCAAUGAAUAGAAACAAGGAUAAACAUCUAUUAUUUAAAAAAUUCAGAUGCUCUUGAUGUCCAUAUAAGACAUAUCCUCAGUUUCAAAUUUUCUUCCUAAAGCAUGACGUCUCUUCCUUGGCCAUCAUGAUUUAUCUGUUGAUAAAAUUUACCCUGUGUAUUCAUGAGAAUAUGAUUUAUAAAAGUUAAGAUAUAUACUGGAUCUUUAGCAUAUAAAAGCUUCUAAUGGAUUUUUUUUUUGGAAGAGUAACUGUGAAAAGGAAGUUUGUUUAGAGCAGGAGUUGAGAAAACGUAUGGAAUAAAAGAAAGCAUAAGAUCGCCAGGUUCAUCUAUUUCAGAUUUUGAUGCAUCAGAGGAAAAUCAAUAUGGGUUCCAGAAGGCGUUUUAAGUAAUAAAAGGAUAUUACAUUUUUUUCCAUCAGAUAUUGUCAAAUUUGUGCUUACAUAAUGCUUCAAACAUUUUGAAAGAAUAGAGAAUGCU
rnacentral:lncRNA from 1 species